CUUGCUAAUAAAUCAAAGGCGUGCUGUCAAAUCUUUAUCUCUGGGAGGAAGUUUCUUCUUGCAAGCAAUUAGGAAUUCUCAGCUGCUCUGCAGUUCAGUGGGUUUUCUCUGUAAAUACAAGUUAGCAGAGGUGAGGUGAGGCCACAGCGUGGCUCUUUGCUUGCUGCAGUCACAGCGUCUGCUGUGCCAUGCGCAGCGCUGUAUUCUGAUCUCUCUUACGUCUAGACGGAUAUUCAUAAUGAAAUAGAUGUCUGGAUAAUGAAGUAGACUUUCACAGUCCUAAUGGGAUUGAAGCCUGCAAAGGAUGGAAAAAGAGCAACUUGCACUACACCCUCCAAGGCCCCUGGAUUUCACAGUAGGUUUUUUGGAAUACUAGAUCGGAUUGGAAGAUACUUACGUGAUUGCCAACAGAGUUCAGAAACACACUUGAUAACGCAGGAGAGAAGGAUGUGAAUGGACUAAGUGGGGAAAACAACAAAUAUUCACUAAUGCUUAGGGGGAAAUAUACAUCAUGGUAUAGAUGAGAACCGUGGCAGAAUGAAGUGCUGACUUCAGGUCAUCUCUGACUGAACAGAUGGUCUAGCUGCCAUAAUGACGACUACAGACAUGUAAUUACGCCAAACUUUGGCCAAAAUCAGGUUGUACAAUAUAUUUGUCAAUGAGUAGAGCCAAGUGAACCUCCAUAGGAACUGUAGCAUGCCCAAAUGCUGCAUGGAUCCCACGGUUCUCUGUGGUAUGCUUUGGCAGUGGUCAGUUAAAUGCUUCAGAGGAACUGGAGUGAUUAUAAAUCAACUUCGUCAUCAUCCAUAAGGUGGAUGGAGAACAUUUCAUAAAAGUGAAAAAAGGUUUCCAGGGAGAUCUUCUUGAGGUGUGAAUAGUGCCCACUGUGUGCAAUACCCCUGACAGGAGACAGUGCAGAUGCAGCACCUACCUUUUUGCUCCAGAAAGCACUCAAAAGAAGACACGAUUGCCCUUUGGCACCUUCGGAGGCUGUUCCAGGAUGCAUCAUCCCCUAGUUCUAAGCUUCCGUGUCUCUAGAAAACUGGAUGACUCUAGAGAGGAAUUCCAAACUCUUCCCAACUCCUCCAAUUUUGAAAGGCCGUUUUCCAAGACAAAACUUUGUUGAAAAGCGAUGUGUUUAAGAUAGGGGUGUAACUUCUAAUAAUAUGAAACUACAGAAGAAAAAAAAGUGCUUGAAUAUGGAUUUGACCAUGGGACAUUGGAAAUGCAAAAGAAUUUUAGACUUUUUAAUGCAAAUAAGCAAGUUGCAUCAUUCCAAGUUCAUUCAGAGGCAUAUGUUGAAACAACACAAAGCAAUGUAAAUAAGCAGUCCAAAUCACUUGUCAGACGGCUUUACAACAAUGGAUGACUUUCCUUAGUGCCUUAGUGCUGCUCUAUCUGCAAGGAAUCUUCCUGGAGCACCUCUUGAGAGCUGCCACAAUAUCAAGUUAAUUCAUGUUGAUGGCCACUGCCUAUUAGUCACUACUUUGAGAAGGAACAACAGCGACAGGAUACUUGAAAAGAAAUACUGCAGCUGAUGCUUUGCAUUAUGAAAAAUGCCGACAUCUGAUCCAUUUUGAUAUCCUUGAAUAUCUGAUCUUUGGAAAAAUUACAUGUGGAGUUCAGGACAUUGGGCAUUUGCUCCCUGAGUGAUGGAGUCCAGAACCUGUUUAAGGGUCCCAGCAGCCCACCUCUAUUUCAUAGUAGACAACCCCUUGAGUGACAAAAACCUUUUAAAGGGGAAAAAUAACAUGAACAACUCCUUCUAACAUGGUUGGAAUUGAGACCACCUAAGUUUUUGCUCUAAGCUGUUCCUGUACAAUCUGUUUCCCAGGUAAUCUUCAUGUUUAUUUAAGAGAAAGAGAUCAUCCCGCUCUUUCACAGAAGCUCUCUCUUAGCCUUUUGAGGAUGCUCCAGGCUAAUGUAUGGAGCCUAGAGGGUGUAAUUCAUAGUUUGAAACCUAUUACACUCAUGCCUUAUCUUCUAGUGAUUGCUCUGAGCAUCAAGAAUUGUAAGAAAGGAAGGAAGGGCCCCCCAUCUCCUUCUCAGCUUGUGCUGCUCAGCUCCACACAGAAGAGCGUAUUUCUGCAGAAAGGCAGAAGCAGAGCUGUGAGUCACAAAUGAGUCAAAAGGACAAAAGCUUAGUUGGCAAAGACUGGCAUUUUUAUUAUAUAAAAUCAGACUUUUGAGAACUGUCUUUUUAAGCUUAGCAUCCUCCACAAUUCUUAAGUGGGAUUAAGAUGUCCAAAACAAGAUCUCUUCUUCUUUUAAUUACUAUCUACUGACAUUAUUACAGAGUUUACUAUUUGUGUAUGAGUUAAGCACAAGGUGAGGAAUUAUCCUAAGCAACAAUUUUUCCUUGCUUACCAAAGCUUGCAAUGGAGAGCAGAUUGCCUAUCCCUGUAAUGGAUGUACAUGUGUAAGAGAUUUUUAAAUGGCAAAUAACUAGCAGAGCCUUUAUUAUUAAUAUCAAAACAUUAUUUUUUCUUGUACUCUUUUUUCCAGAUGAGUUUUCUGUUUGAAUUCAUUGAAACUUUUUCAUGUAGUUUAUUAGAACCAGUAUAUUGUAUUAAUUUCCCUAAAAAUUCUUCACUUACAAAGCAGCUGAAUAAAUUUUAUAGUGGAAUAAGUUGUGAAGAUGAAUUACUGCCCAUGCAUGUGAACACCACUGAUCAGGAGGUGACACUUUACUGUAGUAGCUCAAUAGAGAGAUAUCAAGGAACAUAUAAGGGUUAAUUUAGCAAGAUCCCCUGAAACAGUGUAGAAAAAAAAUGUUUCAGUAGGUAAAAAUUCAGAAUGCUGUCUUUAUACAUUCAACAGUCUGCUAAAUUAAAAAUAGUUAAAACUCAUUUUUGUGCCACGAUUACACUAAAAUCUGAGAAGACCAGUAAGGGAGGAAAGUAUCUUCCAGGAGAUCAGAGCACUUUCAUGGAAUUUUGGACUUCAGAGAUUCUGCAGGUUUCAAAUAUAAAUAUAUGCAGUUUUAAAAUGUUAGAAACAAGUGAGUCAUCCUUAUCUCUCAGGGGAGUAGUUACUUAGGUUGGUAGCAUGGGAGGGUUAAGGGAAGGAAAAGAGGAAGACAGUUGUAAUAAUCUUGAGUAAUAGUAGACAAACCUGUCCCUGUUCCUUUUCUCUCUCUCCCAUCCUCUCUCGAUUAGCACAAGAGCUAUAGAAAUGUCAUUUCAACAUGUUACAUCCAUUCAUAUGAUCAAAAUGAAUUUAUUUUAGAACCCAAUUUUUGCAUAAAUGCUUAUAUAUGUGGUCAGAGAUAUAGAAGUCAGCAAAGAGCAUCACAUUAUUUAAGUGAGAUACUUUCAGCUAAGUAAGCUGAGCUGGUCAUGCAUGACAUUGAGUGCUGCUGAGAAGGUCCUCAGCAAACUCUCUUGCUCCUUUCCUCCCUACAGACGUGCAAAAAGUUCUCCGUACUUUAUACAUUCAUGUUGGUAAGGAUGUUUUCAAGCCACUGUAAACUAAGCAGCAAUGACAUUAGAUUCUAAUUAAGAUCUUUUGGCUUUCACAUUGAUAAUGAGCUGUAGGCACUUCUUUGUUGCUCAUGUUAUUUUUGUAAAGCUGUUUGGGAGCUCCCUUAGAGAAUCUCCCCCAAGAAAAAAUAUUGUUUUCUUCCACUCUCUGCACAUCAGUUGUCAAAUUCAAAGAUGCCUGCCAACACAGCUCAGCCUUUUGUAGUCAGAAAUUCAUUUUCAAACAAUGCUUUCCAAUUCCUAGGUAAUCUGGUGUGUGUUAUUUAAACAUCUAAUACAUGUAAUUUCACAAGGAUCAACAUAGCCAAGUACACAGAAGCCUAGAACUGGCAUGUCAAACAAAACAUUUUCUGUUAGAAGUGAAUAUGUUUUCACUGUGAUUGAAUAAUCAGUGUUUUGAAUGUUAGUGUCUGAAGUUUUACAAUGUAUUUCAAAGCCUAAUUUAAAAAGCACAUACUAACACUUCCCGAUUAUGUCUGUAGAGCAGCUGUUUUGUGUGAUUUAAUGGUGAGUGUAAAAACCUAGCUCCGUUUAAGCCAGCUGCAAGAAUCUCUGGAGUUUCUUUGGUUUGGCAGUUUCCCACCUUCUCCUUCAGGAUACAACCUUCUCCUUCACAAUGGGACUUUCAUCGCCAUCAAUUCCAAUCUCUAAUUAUGUUUCAAUCUUGCAAUGACGUGCCUAUAAAGAGUCUCUUGACAUUUUUUUCUUGGUUAACUUGGGCCAAGAUCACAUGGACAUGAUGUGGCCUGCUGAUUCUCAUGAUUUCAGUAAGAUCCAGCUGUCUUUCAGGAAAACCUCCUUCAAAAGAUCAUGACAGAGCUGGCUGGUGAACUGGUCAUCUUCUUUUACAGUAGCUGCAAGUGCAACAAUACGAUAUGCCACAGGAAAUCUCCAGCAAUGACAUGGGUGACCAGCUAGAGCUCAGUGCAUGUUUCUGAAGAUUUCAGCUUACUGAGUUCAACUUGUGGUAGUCACAUCUGCUACACCAAAGGUAUUUGUUUUUUUGAGGAAUCUGUUCGCUGCCACUGCAGGUCAGUAAAGAUUCACGGCCUUUCAUGUGGGCCUGGAAAAUCUGCUGGAUUGACAGUGAGAGCACAGGAGGAAAAUAAUAGCAUGUCCCAUGGGCAUCAGAUUCCAGCUGUGUCAGGAAAAGUCCUUUCCAUGUUGCUGCAUUUGGGAUGCACCUCUGUCCCAAGAGGGGCAAAUAUGGUCUCCAUAUUCAUGAAGCAGGAGUGGACACAAACGUUUGGCCAAUGCUUUUGACAGCAUAAUAGGGGGGAGGGAUAGGCUGUAUUUUUUCAUAAUUUUCUUUUGUUUGUUUACUAUGUUAUUAUUCAUGCCUCACUCUGGGAGAAGCAACAGAAAACUUUGCUUAAGUAAGAGAGGCUUGUUAAAGUAACCAUCAUCUGAUGCUAACAAUCUUGACAGGAACCUGUUUUUUGCAAGUGAUCCUAGCUAGGAAAUGUGAUUGUGAAGAUGUCAUGAUUCAGACUUCAGCUGAAUUUCUUAGGUUGUUAUCAGCCUAGUUGUAGGUCAUUUUACAAUACAGAGCAAGGUAGAUAUUAAUGUCUGUGGUCAACAGUCUACUUAUAAUAGACAAAGUGUUACAUGAUAGUUUCAUGGAAAGAUUGAUGCUUCUGUCCCUGAGAUGUUGCUGACUCAUCUGUGGCAUCUAAUGGAUGCACUUCCCUGAAUUUAUUCCCGCUUCCAGUUCCAUAAAUACAGCAAAAAUAAAAGAUACCUCUUAGGAAACAUCCUGUCUUCAUCAUAGUAACACUUACUCCCAUGGUUAAUUACUCUUACUGUUAAGCAUUUGCAUCUUAUUUCUAGCCUAGAUGUGUCUAGCAUGAGAUUCCAGUUAUAGCUUACCAUCAGAUUGAUAUUUUCUUCAAAAAGCUAUUUUCAAUUGAGAGGGCUUGAAAUUAACCAAGCUUCUUUCAGUAAGAUGAUCAAGAUAACAAUAUCAUUCUUUUCAAUGAAACAGUUUUUCACCAUUCAGCAAAAGUCUCUUUUCACAGUAAGGGAACAUUCUGAAAUAAUUAAAAGAUUUUUGUGAUUUAGUUUUUAAAAUAGUACUAAUGCUUUAGCUUUGAUGUUCCAAAGAUACGAGGGAGACAAGGUCUGCAUUGUAUGGUCAUAUAUUUUACUAGACCAACUGAUACAGAUAGGGGGAAAAAAAAUGACUCAGAAGUAUUCCUUGAGAUGAGGAAAGGCUUUUGUGAUCAACAGCUUAUCCAUUUAUCAGUCAGUUUUAUAAGAUAUAUGACUUCUCAUCUCAAGUCUUCCAUCUUUGCAACAUUUAACAAAAAAGGCAGAAUGUUUUGUAUGCAAAAGAACAUUCACAUAUUUUCUAGCAAAAAAGAAAAAAAAGAAAAGAAAGAAAAAAAAAGAAAAAUAAUACAUGCAAAAGUUAUGAGCUGCAUUGUUCAGCUCAAAGAUAAAUCAAGAAAAUUAUAUACUUUCCAACUGUUGAGUUAAGGAAACUUCUGUUACAGUUGUCUCUCUCAUCUUUCACAUAAUCACAGAAUAAUUGAGGCUGGAAAAGACUGCCAAGAUCACCCAGUCCAACCCCACCCCCCUUAUGCCCACUGACCACGUCCCUCAGUGCCAGAUCUACACAUUCCUUGAACACCUCCAGGGAUGGUGACUCCCUGAGCAGCCCGUGUCAUUUCAUCACCAAUCUUUCAGAGAAUAAAUUGUUCCUAAUAUCCAACCUGAACCUCCCCUGAUGCGACUUGAGACCUAAAAGGAGGUUGUAGUGUGGAGUGGGUGGACGUCUUCUCUCAAGUAACUAGUGAUAGGACAAAAAUUAACUUCCAAUCAUUAAAAUAUUUCCUAAAUGUACUGGGAAGUACUCUGUUCUCAACUCUACCAGUGCUGGAGUAAGUAGGAAAUUGCACUGAGUGGUCAAAUAACGUAAUUACGCAAAAAGAAAAAUGCUUUUGUUUAAAAUGAGGCAAGGAGUUCUUGAUUCUUUCUCAUUCACAACAUUUACUACAUAUUUGACAUUUGAGAUGCUAUAACUAGGAAGAGAUGAAUCCAUCCUGGGGGGAAGGAUGUUAUUUCUACAGCUAAUUGGCUGGCUGAUACCUUAAUUCAUAAAGCUGUGUGCCUGCUCUCAUUUACCAUGGCUAGAUUGCAGCCAUUUAUAGCAGGCAAUGAGAACAAGAAUAGUUAUUUUUCCUGCUUUCUUUGAAGUUCAUUCUUAAAAAUCACUGAGGUAUAAAAUUCCUCUUCAAUUCAUUCUUUCAAAACUCAAGCACCACUAAAAUAUAUAUAAUAUCAAACCUUCCCCAAGAAAUCUGUCACACGGUGACUGAGAACAGCUUCAAUUAAAUCUUCUUAUUAAGUGAAGAAGUAAUUUACACUUAGGUUUCACCAGAUGAGGUUGAUGUAAUUAUACUAGGGAUGUUCCAACAAUUGACAGCUCCCCGUAGCCUUAUAAUCAUCUGCAAAUUAGAAGAUGAAGAGCUCUGAGUUCCCAUUUCUUCCAUGCACAAUGCAUAUAGAAAGCUAAAUAAGGAUGUUUCCAAAGGAAGCCACACCUUUCUGGAUUUUUUUCUCUUUAAAAAUUUUAAUGGUAAUAGUUGACCUCAUUUUUACUUUUUAAAAUCAUUUUCUAUGCUCUCACUGCCACCUGAGUCCCUUUGCCAGCGUCCCUAGAGUUUGGGGUUUUGGAGACAGAGAACAGACAGCUGCUGAAGGGAGAGAGGGGAGCAAGCUGUGUCUGAGGAUCCUGAGCCCUUCCUUCUCCUUCAGCACUGUCGGUUACAAGCAUCAAGACUGCACUUCAACCACUCUUCCAGAGCGAGGUUUCCCCUUCCAGAAUUUUAUCAUUCUACACUAAGCACCAAUGGAUAUCGUAACUGAAGUGCAUGAAUGUUAUUGUUCCUCCUUACUUUGCCUCUGUAUGAUUUUAUUUUACUCUGUUUCAUGUUACUGAUUUUUAACAUUUAGUGUUAAGAACUGAACAGAGAUUCGGCUAAAAAAUAAAGCAAGUCCAAUGUUGAAUACUUAUAUAUAUAUGUGUGUGUGUGUGUGUGUAUAUAUACACAUAUGUAUAUAUAUAUAUAUAUAUAAGAUCAUUAUGUUACCUGUGUACUUCAAGAUAUAAUUCGGAGUGGUUGUUUCUUCUAGUUGAAAGAGAAAAUCUUUUAAUUUCAAUUAGUUAGAAAAUCCUUUAGGGAUUCUGUCCUUCACAAGCAAUAAAGUUACUUUAUGUUCCUAUCAUGAACAAAGACUUUUCUAAGCUGAGGUCUACAUAUAAGUCAAAUGAAACAUCAAAAAAAUGUUUGGCUUAUGAUCAUUGAAAAAGCUCAUGUCUGGGGAAAAAAAAAUAUAUGAACAAUUCACAGUUCAGACAUAAAAUGAGCAAACUGAUGUGCACUUCAGUGCUAAAAUGAAGGUGCCAGAACUGUCUCAUAGAAUAAAUUAUACAGUAGAUUUAAGUCUGGUCUAUUCAAGAAAUUCCCUUUAUACAGUGUAGCAUGCAGAAUUUUAACUGUUCUGGGACACAUGUAUUAUUAAUGUUCACAAAGACCAGAUAUUGGUGUGUUAAAAUAAAAGGAACAACUGACUAAUACCAUCUUCAGUCAAUCUGCUGUCAGUGGUGUGCAAACAUUUUUACAAUUGCACAGUGCAAUUUAUUCAUCUCCUGAAUGGCUGUUGUCUUCUCUUUGUGAAGGUGAAAGAUGGAGAGGAAAUGCGAGGUGACAAUUUUAAGUCUUCGGGUAUGAAUGUUGGAAUAGCUAAAUAUUAUUUUUAUAUUUACAUUUUAUACCAAAAGUCAUUUACUUAUACAUCCAGUAACCAGCAGAUUAGCUAUGCUGCAUAAGGAAAAAAUCUAGGCUGAAAAAGAGGUCUUUGAGGUACUGAUUUUCUCCUUGAUUUCCCUGAUGCACCACAGCAGGACUUUUCUUACUGAUAUUUUAUUCAUUUUUCUCCUCUUCUAAUUACCUUUGAUUUUUUUUC
ensembl:lncRNA